CAUAUAUAUAAAUUAAGUAACUACUAAUUCAAACCAUCCAAACAAACUUGUAGUUAUCUCAACUUAUUGAUUAACUUAGUCCUAAGGAUAUUAACUUCAAAUACUUAUACUUACACUGCAAUCCAUUCAAUCUACCAAACCCUUAUUGGACCACUAUCUAAUCUAGAGGAAUAUAGAUACCUAAUUAUUUUUUAGACAAGCACA
rnacentral:lncRNA from 1 species